GACGAACGCUGGCGGCGUGCUUAACACAUGCAAGUCGAACGGAAAGGCCCUGCUUUUGUGGGGUGCUCGAGUGGCGAACGGGUGAGUAACACGUGAGUAACCUGCCCUUGACUUUGGGAUAACUUCAGGAAACUGGGGCUAAUACCGGAUAGGAGCUCCUGCUGCAUGGUGGGGGUUGGAAAGUUUCGGCGGGUGGGGAUGGACGCGCGGCUUAUCAGCUUGUUGGUGGGGUAGUGGCUUACCAAGGCUUUGACGGGUAGCCGGCCUGAGAGGGUGACCGGCCUCAUUGGGACUGAGAUACGGCCCAGACUCCUACGGGAGGCAGCAGUGGGGAAUAUUGCACAAUGGGCGGAAGCCUGAUGCAGCAACGCCGCGUGCGGGAUGACGGCCUUCGGGUUGUAAACCGCUUUCGCCUGUGACGAAGCGUGAGUGACGGUAAUGGGUAAAGAAGCACCGGCUAACUACGUG
rnacentral:rRNA from 1 species